rnacentral:SRP_RNA from 1 species
ACAGGGCAUGGUGGCAUGUGCCUGUAGUCCCAGCUACUCAGGAGGCUGAGGUGGGAGGAUUGCUUGAGCCCCGGAGUUCUGGGCUGUAGUGCGCUAUGCCGAUAGGGUGUCUGCACUAAGUUUGGCAUCAAUAUGGUGACCUCUCAGGAGUGGGGGACCACCAAGUUGCCUAAGGAGAGGUGAACCAGCCCAGUUCGGAAACAGCAGGUCAAAAUUCCCAUGUUGAUCAUUAGUGGAAUUGUGCCUGUGAAUAGCCACAGCACUCCAGCCUGGGCAACAUAGUGAGACCUCGUCUCU